UGUCUUUACACAGGUUUCCUAUACGAAAUGAUUUAAGGACAAAAUGGUUAGAAGCUAUUGACACCCAAAGAAGGCCCCCAGGAGUCGUUGAAUAGCUUGAAAACGAUUGUAAAUUAUUGUAUUUUUUUUAAGACAGUAUCUACUUAUGGCGUUUCUUGCGGAUUCUUCUUCAUAAGACCGAAUCUUUGGCACCCUGCAA